GAUGAACGCUAGCGGCAGGCCUAAUACAUGCAAGUCGAACGGUAAAUAUUCAGCAAUGGAUAUGAGAGUGACGCACGGGUGCGUAACACGUAUGCGACCUACCCUUUACAGGAGUAUAGCUCGGGGAAACUCGAAUUAACACUUCAUAGUAUAAUUGAAUGGCAUCAUUUGAUUAUUAAAUCUGAGGAGGUAAAGGAUGG
rnacentral:rRNA from 1 species